rnacentral:lncRNA from 1 species
GACCAUGCAAGCUGUAGAUCCAAAUGAUGAUAACGAGUGGUUAUCCCUGGUGAUGUGAGUGCAUCGAGACCACCAGAUCGUACUUUUUGUCCCCCUGUCACAUCCUCAACUCUUGACUCCCGCCUGGCACAUAGUAGGUGCUCAGUGUGCACUUGGUGACUGGAUGAACUGAAGAGCAACCUACCCAGCAGGUGACACUGCUAAUGAGUGCAGCUGGAGAUGGGAAACACCUGAUUAAGCGCAGAUACUGAUCCCAAGACACAGCCUGACUUCAGCAACAGCGCAGCAGAAGAAGCCUCCGUCCCCGAUGCAUUGGAGAGACUUCAU